AACGCUGGCGGCAGGCCUAACACAUGCAAGUCGAGCGGUAGCACAGAGAGCUUGCUCUCGGGUGACGAGCGGCGGACGGGUGAGUAAUGUCUGGGAAACUGCCUGAUGGAGGGGGAUAACUACUGGAAACGGUAGCUAAUACCGCAUAAUGUCGCAAGACCAAAGUGGGGGACCUUCGGGCCUCAUGCCAUCAGAUGUGCCCAGAUGGGAUUAGCUAGUAGGUGGGGUAACGGCUCACCUAGGCGACGAUCCCUAGCUGGUCUGAGAGGAUGACCAGCCACACUGGAACUGAGACACGGUCCAGACUCCUACGGGAGGCAGCAGUGGGGAAUAUUGCACAAUGGGCGCAAGCCUGAUGCAGCCAUGCCGCGUGUGUGAAGAAGGCCUUCGGGUUGUAAAGCACUUUCAGCGGGGAGGAAGGCGGUAAGGUUAAUAACCUCAUCGAUUGACGUUACCCGCAGAAGAAGCACCGGCUAACUCCGUGCCAGCAGCCGCGGUAAUACGGAGGGUGCAAGCGUUAAUCGGAAUUACUGGGCGUAAAGCGCACGCAGGCGGUCUGUCAAGUCGGAUGUGAAAUCCCCGGGCUCAACCUGGGAACUGCAUUCGAAACUGGCAGGCUAGAGUCUUGUAGAGGGGGGUAGAAUUCCAGGUGUAGCGGUGAAAUGCGUAGAGAUCUGGAGGAAUACCGGUGGCGAAGGCGGCCCCCUGGACAAAGACUGACGCUCAGGUGCGAAAGCGUGGGGAGCAAACAGGAUUAGAUACCCUGGUAGUCCACGCCGUAAACGAUGUCGAUUUGGAGGUUGUGCCCUUGAGGCGUGGCUUCCGGAGCUAACGCGUUAAAUCGACCGCCUGGGGAGUACGGCCGCAAGGUUAAAACUCAAAUGAAUUGACGGGGGCCCGCACAAGCGGUGGAGCAUGUGGUUUAAUUCGAUGCAACGCGAAGAACCUUACCUGGUCUUGACAUCCACAGAACUUUCCAGAGAUGGAUUGGUGCCUUCGGGAACUGUGAGACAGGUGCUGCAUGGCUGUCGUCAGCUCGUGUUGUGAAAUGUUGGGUUAAGUCCCGCAACGAGCGCAACCCUUAUCCUUUGUUGCCAGCGGUCCGGCCGGGAACUCAAAGGAGACUGCCAGUGAUAAACUGGAGGAAGGUGGGGAUGACGUCAAGUCAUCAUGGCCCUUACGACCAGGGCUACACACGUGCUACAAUGGCAUAUACAAAGAGAAGCGACCUCGCGAGAGCAAGCGGACCUCAUAAAGUAUGUCGUAGUCCGGAUUGGAGUCUGCAACUCGACUCCAUGAAGUCGGAAUCGCUAGUAAUCGUAGAUCAGAAUGCUACGGUGAAUACGUUCCCGGGCCUUGUACACACCGCCCGUCACACCAUGGGAGUGGGUUGCAAAAGAAGUAGGUAGCUUAACCUUCGGGAGGGCGCUUACCACUUUGUGAUUCAUGACUGGGGUGAAGUCGUAACAAGGUAACCGUAGGGGAACC
rnacentral:rRNA from 1 species